GAUGAACGCUAGCGGCAGGCCUAAUACAUGCAAGUCGAACGGUGUCUUCGGACAUAGUGGCGCACGGGUGCGUAACACGUAUGCAACCUACCUUACAUUGGGGGAUAGCCUUUCGAAAGGGAGAUUAAUACCGCAUAAGACAGUAGCUGGGCAUCCAGCAGCUGUUAAAGAUUUAUCGAUGUAAGCUGGGCAUGCGUCCAAUUAGCUAGUUGGUGAGGUAACGGCUCACCAAGGCAAUGAUUGGUAGGGGAACUGAGAGGUCAAUCCCCCACAAUUGCACUGAGAUACGGGCCAGACUCCUACGGGAGGCAGCAGUAGGGAAUAUUGGGCAAUGGACGCAAGUCUGACCCAGCCAUGCCGCGUGCAGGAUGAAGGCGUUAUGCGUUGUAAACUGCUUUUAUACAGGAAGAAACGACUCUUGCGAGAGGCAUUGACGGCACUGUAUGAAUAAGCACCGGCUAACUCCGUGCCAGCCGCCGCGGUAACAC
rnacentral:rRNA from 1 species